ACUUUCUUAGUAUAAUUAGUACUGUUGACUUCCAAUCAACAAGACUCGUGUCAACCACGGGAGAAAGUA
rnacentral:tRNA from 1 species